rnacentral:rRNA from 1 species
GACAGAGGAUGCAAGCGUUAUCCGGAAUGAUUGGGCGUAAAGCGUCUGUAGGUGGCUUUUUUAAGUCCGCCGUCAAAUCCCAGGGCUCAACCCUGGACAGGCGGUGGAAACUACCAAGCUGGAGUACGGUAGGGGCAGAGGGAAUUUCCGGUGGAGCGGUGAAAUGCGUAGAGAUCGGAAAGACCACCAAUGGCGAAGGCACUCUACUGGGCCAUUACUGACACUGAGAGACGAAAAGCUAGGGGGAGCAAAUGGG